ensembl:lncRNA NRP2-AS1 NRP2 antisense RNA 1
CACAGCAACUUGCUCUCCUGGCUGGCUUCCCGCACCACCUGCAGCGCCACCCCGCGGCCGCCCGUGGCCUGGGACUGUGAAUAUCCUGGACUUGUCAGGGUAGAUGGGCUAGGAUUCUAGAGCCUAGAAUCAAUGCAAUACUCCCUGGACCACUGCUUUGCUGUUGUUAAUCCUGCUGACCUCAACUUUCUAGCUCCUUCCUGUUUAGGCUCUCUGGGAUUAGUGCUUCAGAAGCUAUGCUUCCCUGAAGUCAAAUGAGACCAGUUUAGUAUGCGUAUAUGGGAUUCCAGUUUGUGCCUCUUCAACCAUCCAAAGCCACAUCUGUCUACAUACCCUACAAGGUGUGACCUCUGCAAGGCCAAAAUCAGCACAGAUAACUAAAAGGCAGCUGUCUACAGAAGAGAAUUAAUAAUGGUGUCUGCUGAGGGAGGAUACACUGAUGCCAAAUCAGACCCUCAAAGAUCUUCUAAACCUAUGCUUCCCCUAUCAGAUCUUACUAUUACUGCUGUUAAUGAUAAUAAUUAAAGCUCAUUCUUGC